rnacentral:lncRNA from 1 species
UAACAGUAGAUAAAAUAUUGUUAUAUUUCAAAAAAUUUUCAAUUAUUUAGUGUAGUUUUUAUUUUCCUCAUCGUUAUACUUCUAUUCAUAUCAAUGUAGAAUUAACAGGAAAAAAACUUGUGAAUGGCAACUUGGAUAAAGAUAGUUUUUAAAGAAACAGCAAGAUUGUAAAGAUUUUCUCAAAAAGAAAAAGACAAGAUUGUAAAGCUAUUACAAGCAAACGGAAUACUUAUCGUCAGAGAAUCAACACAUCACCGGAGAGUUCACCGGAGAAGCACCGGAAGAAGAAAAAGACAGAAAACCAAAUUUACGAAAAGAAGAAAGGCGUAGCCUUCCCUUUGCCUCUGAUGACUUGCCGUUUGUGUCUCUCCCCUGUUAACCAGAACAGAGAAAGAUAACGGAACCGAGUUAACUCCCGUUAACCGUAGCUCGAAAGGCUUUUUACGCCAUCUUCUUUUUCCGUUUCUUCCUCCAUAUCUUUUGCUCUUCUUUAGAUUAUUGACAAAGAGAGAUAAAACGUUGGUGUUCCUUUUAUUCUUCUGCGUCCAUUGUCACUCCAUUUAUAAUGCUUCAUUUGAUCCCAUAUCCAAACAAUAAACAAUAAUCAAUAAUUAGUUUUAUUUCAACCCAUGGAAUCUUUUUAAAAGUUAUACCUAACUCCAGUAAAAAUUUAAUGAACACUUCAAUAAUGUGCAUGGUUUACUUUUAAAAGAAAUCCA